UGGGGUAUCGCCAAGCGGUAAGGCACCGGUUUUUGGAUACCGGCAUUCCCUGGUUCGAAUCCAGGUACCCCAGCCA
rnacentral:tRNA from 1 species